UGCAACCUCAUUCCUAGGAGGUCGCUCCCACCACUCGAAGAAGUCGGAUUUCACACAAUCGAAAGUUACCAGGUCUCCGAAGCAAGUGAGACCAACUUCUUUGAGUGGUGGGAGCAACCUCCUAGGAAUGAAGUGCCGAUC
rnacentral:miRNA from 1 species